rnacentral:rRNA from 1 species
UGGGGAAUAUUGCGCAAUGGGCGAAAGCCUGACGCAGCGACGCCGCGUGUGGGAUGACGGCCUUCGGGUUGUAAACCACUGUCGCGAGGGACGAAUAGCUCGAUUAAUCGAGCCCUGACGGUACCGGGUGAGGAAGCACCGGCUAACUCCGUGCCAGCAGCCGCAGGUAAUACGGGGGGUGCGAGCGUUGUCCGGAAUCACUGGGCGUAAAGGGCGCGUAGGUGGUUUGAUAAGGGUGUGGUGAAAGUCCGGGG